UCCUCUCUACUCGGGAACAGUACUUUUCAAGGCAGUUCGUAGUUAACAGUCGGAGGCAUAAAGUCAGAAGACAUUCCCAGAAUGUUGUGUCAACCAGCAGUCUGUUGUACUCUGAAUUACAUUGAUUUGUGCAAUUGGCAAUGUGCACAAGUCUAUAUGCAGUCAAUCUAGCGUCUCCUUCCAGAAAAAUGUGGAAAAGAGGUAGAUCUAGAAGGAUCUCUAUGGCCGCUGACGGUGGCCACUGAUGGCCAGACAAGUCUGUCUCUGUCGAGGUGAAAUGAAGCGCAUAUUUUUAUUUCUUUAGUUAGGUACUUUAUUGUCUUAAGGGUAUAAAUCAAUGAUAAAGCACUUGCGUCUCAAUCAGUGUUGUUGUUAGUAAAUUAUACUUGGGCUAAAAAUCAAAAUGGUCAUUUUAGUUUUCUCUCCAAUAAAACGAAUGAGAAAAGAUUAUUAUUCUAGAUGUACUUAUAUGAUGCUCUCAUACACCACCGUUGAUAUUCUGAUGGAAAUAUAUUUGCAAAUAACUGGAGUUCCAAAAUCAUCGAUAUAUAAAUUAAAGAAUGAGAGAAAAAAUGAAGCUGUGAAAUCAGCAAUACCAUCUUAAGGAAGAGAUACUGUGACUGUUCAUGGAGACUACAAACUUUCAAUUAGAUGAACAUGUUUCAGUUGGCAUUUUUUCAACCUUUCUGGAAUAAUAAUUUGCAUUAUCUAUCACACUUACAGAGUUAGGAAUGCGAUCUAACAUUUGCUCAGAAUAAUCUUCAAACACAUCGCCAUUCAUGUCUUCACGAUAAUCGCCAAAAUGCUUUGACUCAACAUCAAUAAACGGCCCUCAACAAAACCAUCAACACUUUCAAUGUGGGUAAUAAUCAAUAAUUUUUGGAAAUAAAUAAAGGUUUUUGGAAUCUUACAAAGAAAGAAAGGAAGCAAUUUCAAAAAAGUUAUCUUUAAGUAAGGAGAAUAGACGGGUCUGGACCUUCCCCCAACUGUAAUCCCUCCAGUGCCAGCAGACGACUGUGAUUUUAACCCCCUUUUCUAUUCUCCGCCUAUAAAUUGGCCUUGAGUUGCGUGUAACAUAAUGAGCUGGAACACUUUUUUUAAUCUCCGCUCAUGACUUGGUAUCGAGUUGCGUGUGACUUCAUAACCGUGAACCCCUUUUUUACUCCCCGUCUAUGAUUUGGCCUUUAGUUGUGUGGUCGCACGUCACAUGACCUUGGAACAAUCCUAACCGAUCUUGAGCUAUGUCCUUGAUACAUAACCUUGAGUUUAAGUGAGUUUGAAAGAUUGUGUUAGAUUUAGAAUGUAUGUUUUUAUAAUUCCCUCUGUAUAUAGAUUUUCUAUUUAGUUUAUGUGAUGGCUGAUAAUAUUUUUAGUUGAAUCAAGUUUGUUAGUAUGUCCCACUUGUAUAGGUUCAGUUUAAACCACAAGUCUUAGUUAAACUUUGGUUUAACGAAUAAAGUUCGUUGUAUAGGUGUUUGUGACUGCCAUUCGGAGUUUAACUGUCAACUGAUGGAUGGAGGGGCAGUUAAACUACAAGCGUUGGUUAAACACUAAACACAUGUUCGGAUUGAAUACUGAUGUGUCAACUAUUUGUGGUUACUUUAUGUAUUAUAACCUAUAAAUAUUUGACGCGUCCAGAUAUUUUCUUAGUGGAUAUAUUUGAAAUAUUUGAAGAUGUAUUAUUUGAAGAGGAAGAUGAGAUAGAUGUUAUAAAUAUUGUGGAAAACCCAAGAAGACCGCGACUUUUUCUACCGCGAAUCGACACCAUGGACAUUUGGAUAGACCAGGAAUUUAUCAAUAGGUUCAGGAUGUCGAAAGCAUCUGUAGGGGUAUUAAUUCAAGAAAUUGGCCUAAAUUUGCAUAGGAAUACACCACAGAAUCAUACUCUUACUCCAUUGAAAAAAAUUCUGGUAGCAUUAAGGUUUCAUGUUACAGGCAUCAUGCUGAAUGUAGCGGCAGACUUUGGAGGAAUUGACACUAGCACAUCAUCACGUGUUGUUCGUGAUGUAUCGAGAGAAAUAGCGAGAUUGUCACCUAUGUAUAUUAGGAUGCCUAUGACGAAUGAGGAACUAAAGGAAACCCAAACAGACUUCUAGAAUAUAGCCAAUUUUUCUAAUGUUAUUGGUGCUGUGGACUGCACCCAUAUUAGGAUUCAAUCUCCAGGUGGAGAAAAUGUUGUAAACUUUCGUAACAGGAAAGGCUAAUUUUCAAUUAAUGUUCAGACUGUGUCUGAUGCUAACUUACACAUAAGGAUUUUCAAAAACUACACCUGACGAUUUGAUCUCCACAAACUUUAUUUGAAAAGUAUAUCACAACAUGUUUCGCUGAAAUAUUAGUUUUUUCAAGUGAUUUCAAGUGAUUAUACAUAAGGAAUAUAGUUGCUCGCUGGCCUAGAUCAGCUAAUGAUAGACUCAUUUACAGUAAUAGCUGAUUGAAGGCUCAGCUCAACGGUGGGAUGUAUGGAAAUAGUUUCAUUGUAGAUGAUUCAGGCUAUACCCUGGACAACCAUGUAAUGAUUCCAGUAGCAAAUCCAAACACUGCUGCUGAAAAUCUUUAUAACGAAUCCCAAAUAAGAACCCGUAAUGUUGUAGAGCAACAAUAUGGAGUAUGGAAAAGAAGAUUUCAAGUUUUGAGACUAUAAAUGAGGGUGUUAUUGAACACCAUUUUAGCCAUUAUAGUAGCUACGGGGGUAUUACAUAAUAUUGCUCUUAGCCAGAAUGAUCCCGACUCACAAGCCGACAAUCCCAUUGAACAAGAAGCAGAUGUGGGAAGACAUUAAUGAAGAACACAUUCAAGAAAAUGGACAUUUCACCAGACAAAACUUGAUACAUGAUUAUUUUGUGAAUUUGUUGAAUUAAAUGUGAUCGCAGGUCUCUAUUUACUAAUAUACCUAAUAAAAAAACGCUUU